rnacentral:rRNA from 1 species
UACGUAGGGGGCGAGCGUUGUCCGGAUUCAUUGGGCGUAAAGAGCUCGUAGGCGGUUUGGUAAGUCGGGUGUGAAAACCCCAGGCUCAACCUGGGGACGCCACCUGAUACUGCUAUGACUUGAGUCUGGUAGGGGAUCACGGAAUUCCUGGUGUAGCGGUGAAAUGCGCAGAUAUCAGGAGGAACACCGGUGGCGAAGGCGGGUCUCUGGGCCGAAACUGACGCUGAGGAGCGAAAGCGUGGGGAGCAAACAGG